rnacentral:rRNA from 1 species
AUGGCCGACGACGCCGCCGCCCACGUCCGCGACGGGUUCAACAAGUGGUGGGAGACCUUCAACAAUGGCGGCGCCGUGGAAGAUGAGCCGAUGGUGGACUCCGACUCCGAUUUCGAGCAGGGCGCGGAGGAGGAGGAGGAUGCGGGCGAGCGCGACCGGAAGGUGGAGCCGGACGCCCUCGCCCCCGCCGGGAGGGAGGGCAGCAGCGGCGCCGCCCGCGAUUGCGACGUUGCAGAGGAGGAGAUUUCCGAGGAUGGCCAUUUUCAGCUUGAAAGUGUGCUGCAGGGAAUGAAGAGAGAAGCUGCCGCCGGACGAAAUACACCGCGGGCUACUGCAGCUGAGACCCGUGAUGAAGAAGGUCAAGAUGCAGAGGAGUAUGUUUCUGAGGAUAACUACGCUGGAGGUGAGUUCCAAGCAAAGAAGAGGAAAGCAACCGUAACAACAGGCAAACCGCAGACGGUUGGAUCUGGGAUCCUGAACCAAAAUGCUCAUGUUACGGAGGAGAAUUGUGAGGAUAACCAUUUUCAGCAUGAAGAUGAGCUGCAAGGAAGGAACAGAGAAGCAGCCGCCAAACUAAAUACACCAUGGGCUUCUGGAGAUGAGAUCCAGAACGAAGAAGAUCAAGGUGAGUGCCUGAGAGCUGAGAAUCAGAUGCUGAGGCUGCAGCUUGUUCGCAAGACGAAAGAGCUUGAGGCUGAGCAGAUUGGGAGACUUGAGCUAGAAUUGCAUUUUAUGAAAAAGGAGAACGAGUUUCUGAGGAAGCAGCUUGAAGAGUUGAAAGCUGAGAAUGAGUACUAUAAGAAGACCGCAAAGCCAACAAAAACCCAAAGGCUGUGCAGGUUCUGUAAGGAGUAUGUCGACCACGACUUCCGUAACUGCCCCGAGAGACGCGCUUCCGCUUGUUCUGAAGAAGACGACGGCUCCAUCUAA